rnacentral:rRNA from 1 species
AGCGAACGCUGGCGGCAGGCUUAACACAUGCAAGUCGAACGCAUCCUUCGGGGUUAGUGCCAGACGGCUGAGUAACACGUGGGAACGUACCCUUCGAUCUGGGAUAACUUCGGGAAACUGGAGCUAAUACCGGAUACGCUCUUGUGUGGGAAGGUUUACGGUCGAAGGGUCGGCCAGCGUCCUAUCAGCUAGUUGGUGGCGUAACGGCCUACCAAUGCGACGAUCAGUAGCUGGUCAGAGAGGAUGAUCAGCCACACUGGUACUGAGACACGGCCCAGACUCGUGCGGGAGGAAGCAGUGGGGAAUAUUGGCCAAUGGGGGCAAGCAUGAUGCAGCUAUGACGGGUGAGUGCUGAAGGUCUUAGGGUUGUAAAGCUCUUUUGUACGGGACGAUAAUGACGUUACCGGAAGAAUAAGCACCGGCUAACUUCGUG